rnacentral:rRNA from 1 species
AGUGAACGCUGGCGGUAGGCCUAACACAUGCAAGUCGAACGGCAGCACAGUAAGAGCUUGCUCUUACGGGUGGCGAGUGGCGGACGGGUGAGGAAUACAUCGGAAUCUACUUUUUCGUGGGGGAUAACAUAGGGAAACUUACGCUAAUACCGCAUACGACCUACGGGUGAAAGCAGGGGAUCUUCGGACCUUGCGCGAUUGAAUGAGCCGAUGUCGGAUUAGCUAGUUGGCGGGGUAAAGGCCCACCAAGGCGACGAUCCGUAGCUGGUCUGAGAGGAUGAUCAGCCACACUGGAACUGAGACACGGUCCAGACUCCUACGGGAGGCAGCAGUGGGGAAUAUUGGACAAUGGGCGCAAGCCUGAUCCAGCCAUACCGCGUGGGUGAAGAAGGCCUUCGGGUUGUAAAGCCCUUUUGUUGGGAAAGAAAGGCAGCAGGUUAAUACCCCGCUGUUCUGACGGUACCCAAAGAAUAAGCACCGGCUAACUUCGUG